CGCGGAUAACGUGAUGUGUUGCACUUUUAUUGAUAACACGACACAGUCGCAACUAAUACUAUUUUCUCUACUUCGAAGCACUUGACGAUAGUUUAUCUUCAGGGUUAAUCUUUCGCGAAGUUCUUGCUAUGACAAACACUUCAAAACUCGCAAGUUUUAUAGAUUGGUAUUCCUACCAGAAGAAAAGAUGAGGAAAGAUUCAACUGAUAGAUGUUUACUCAAGGACGUUCAUAAUAACCAACAUUUAUUUCAACGUCAGACGCAAUUCUUUAGACUACUCUCCGUAAUGCAAGGUAUUCAGUAUGAAUAAACUGCAAAGUAAAAGGAAGAAAAAUAUGAAUAAAUAAUUGGAAAGGCACACUAAGGUGGGUUCGGUGCACAAGUCGUGCACAAUCAAAUUAUUAACCGCUCGAAAGCACCUGCAAUAAGCAGCAGGCGUCAGGCAUAUACAAAAGCGCACAGCUCUUCAUUAGCCAUCAAUCAAGAAGUGCCGCGUGUGCGCCGAGACUUAUAUCCUCGGGGGAGGUGAAGCGAGGGAACGCAAAGGAGAGGAGAGAAAGAGAAAGAGACAGAGAAGAAGCGCUCGAUGCAUCCGCUUUCGAAAGUGGCGAGCAUUGUUCCGGUAUAUAUAGCUCGAGUGUAAGCGAGAUAGCUACUGCUUCUUACGUAACAUGCUACUGUGACUAUUUAUUGCGCGCGCCCACAGCGAAUCCUUUGCUUAUACUUAAACGCGUAAGCUUAUCUUUGAAUAAUAAGGAUCGCUAUUGUAAUUUUGUGAUUCAGUUUUCAUUUUGGUAAACUAACAAACAAUUUUAGUUCUCCUGUUUUGUGCUUUCAAAUGCUGUAACGAUUUUGCAAUAUUUUUUUUCAAUGAUCAAACAUAAGUUUUUCGUAUUAUAUUAGCAGCAUAAUAAAUGUUGAUAGUUUUAGGCUAAAGAAUUAUGAAAUUUGGCAUGAAAUAGUGUGUCAUUCAAGAAACUCAAUAUGCCAAUAUUGCUAUUAUAAUUUACAAUAAAAAAACCUAGAUAAUAGUAAAUAUGAAAUGACAGUCGAAAGAGCUUUUCAUUUAUUAAUCUGCUAAAUAAUCGAGUUGUAUAUGCAUCUCCUUGCGACAAUCCUUGCUACAUCAAUCGUGAUAAAAAGCGCGCGCUUUUUUAUGGUAACAAUGAGUAAGCUGUUAGUUUUCUAUCCAUCUGAGUAUAAAAAAAUAUACGGAAAACAUUUUUCCUACGCAAAUGUAAAUUAAUGAUUAUUAUAACUUAGGCAAUAAUUCAAGAUUUUUUCCUGCGAUGACGUUAUAGCAAAGGUUAUCAUUUAAAAUAAUCAAAAAGAUAUAAAUUACCAACAAUAGUCGUGAAAUAUUGUUUUAUUAAGUUAUGUCUUUUAAAUUUUUCAUAGAGUAUUGCAAAAUAAUU